AUUGAAACACUGACUCCCGUACAAUCAGCGAAGUUAAGCAACGCCGAGCUUGGGCAGUACCUAGAUGGGUGAGCCUUUGUAAAUACCAGGUCCUGUAAG